rnacentral:rRNA from 1 species
UACGUAGGGGGCAAGCGUUGUCCGGAUUUAUUGGGCGUAAAGAGCGUGUAGGCGGCCAGGUAGGUCUGCUGUGAAAGCCCGAGGCUCAACCUCGGAACUGCCUUCGAUACUGCGGGUCUCGAGUCCGGGAGAGGUGAGUGGAACUGCGAGUGUAGAGGUGAAAUUCGUAGAUAUUCGCAAGAACACCAGUGGCGAAGGCGGCUCACUGGCCCGGUACUGACGCUGAGGUGCGAAAGCGUGGGGAGCAAACAGG